rnacentral:rRNA from 1 species
CAGUCGAACGCGAAAGGCCCCUUCGGGGGCCAAGUAGAGUGGCGUCCGGGUGAGUAACACGUGAGUAAUUUGCCUUCGGGUGGGGAAUAACAACCGGAAACGGUUGCUAAUACCGCAUAAUGCAGCGGCACCAAAUGGUGACAGUUGUUAAAGCGGGGGAUCGUAAGACCUCGCGCCUGAAGAGAAGCUCGCGGCGGAUUAGCUAGUUGGUAGGGUAACGGCCUACCAAGGCAACGAUCCGUAGCCGGCCUGAGAGGGCGGUCGGCCACACUGACACUGACACACGGGUCAGACUCCUACGGGAGGCAGCAGUCGGGAAUUUUGGGCAAUGGGCGAAAGCCUGACCCAGCAACGCCGCGUGAAGGAUGAAGUUUCUCGGAAUGUAAACUUCACAAGAACGGGAAGAAUAAGUCGCGGAUAAUACCCGGGACGAUGACGGUACCGUUUGUAAGCUCCGGCUAACUCCGUGCCAGCAGCCGCGGUAAUACGGGGGGAGCAAGCGUUGUUCGGAUUUACUGGGCGUAAAGGGCGCGUAGGCGGCGCAACAAGUCACUUGUGAAAUCUCCGGGCUUAACUCGGAGCGGCCAAGUGAUACUGUCGUGCUAGAGUGCGGAAGGGGCAACUGGAAUUCUCGGUGUAGCGGUGAAAUGCGUAGAUAUCGAGAGGAACACCUGCGGCGAAGGCGGGUUGCUGGGCCGACACUGACGCUGAGGCGCGAAAGCCAGGGGAGCGAACGGGAUUAGAUACCCCGGUAGUCCUGGCCUUAAACGAUGGAUGCUUGGUGUCCGAGGUUACAUAGUCCUCGGGUGCCGUCGCUAACGCCUUAAGCAUCCCGCCUGGGGAGUACGGUCGCAAGACUGAAAC